CGCAGCCGCGGUAAUUCCGGCUCCAAUAGCGUAUAUUAAAGUUGUUGCAGUUAAAAAGCUCGUAGUUGAAUUUCGGGGUUAGUAGGUUGGUCAUGCCUCUGGUACGUACUGGUCUCACUGAUUCCUCCUUCCUGAUGAAUCGUAAUGCCAUUAAUUUGGUGUUGCGGGGAAUUUGGACUGUUACUUUGAAAAAUUAGAGUGUUUAAAGCAAGCUAACGCUUGAAUACAUUAGCAUGGAAUAAUGAAAUAGGACGUUCGAUCUUAUUUUGUUGGUUUCUAGGAUUGACGUAAUGAUUAAUAGGGAUAGUUGGGGGCAUUAGUAUUCAAUUGUCAGAGGUGAAAUUCUUGGAUUUAUUGAAGACUAACUACUGCGAAAGCAUUUGCCAAGGAUGUUUUCAUUAAUCAAGGACGAAAGUUAGGGGAUCGAAGACGAUCAGAUACCGUCGUAGUCUUAACCAUAAACUAUGCCGA
rnacentral:sRNA from 1 species